GAUGAACGCUAGCGGCAGGCCUAAUACAUGCAAGUCGAACGAUACUUUCCAGCUUGCUGGAAAGGAAAGUGGCGCACGGGUGCGUAACGCGUAUGCAACCUACCUUAAUCAGGGGGAUAGCCCGAAGAAAUUCGGAUUAACACCGCAUAAAAUCACAGUACAGCAUUGUACAAUGAUCAAAUAUUUAUAGGAUUAAGAUGGGCAUGCGUGACAUUAGCUAGUUGGCGGGGUAACGGCCCACCAAGGCGACGAUGUCUAGGGGAUCUGAGAGGAUGACCCCCAACACUGGUACUGAGACACGGACCAGACUCCUAAGGGAGGCAGCAGUAAGGAAUAUUGGUCAAUGGAGGCAACGCUGAACCAGCCAUGCCGCGUGCAGGAAGACAGCCCUCUGGGUCGUAAACUGCUUUUAUUCGGGAAUAAACCUACUUACGUGUAAGUAGCUGAAUGUACCAAAGGAAUAAGGAUCGGCUAACUCCGUGCCAGCAGCCGCCGUAA
rnacentral:rRNA from 1 species